UUGGCGGAAGCUAAGUCUAUGGAGAAUAUAGGCCUCAAAGGUCCUAAUUAAUUGGAACACACGUAGGGUUCACAAUCAAGAUAUUCCCAAUUUAAAUUUGGACGAUUGAUAUUAGUGAUUAGAGGUAAUGAAACAACGUUUUUGGUAUAUAGCAAAUGGUGUUAAAUGUUUAGAUUAGUAUGCUAGUAGGCUGGCCCUAACCAAAACUUUUGAAGCCUCAUCUUUGUGAUGCCAUAACUUUGAAAAUAGUUGAUGGAAAAUGGAACUGUUUUCUUUUCUUCUUUUUUUUUAUUGAUACAAAAAAUUUUGGGAACAGGGGAGCCCCAAUUCUGAAUUGCCUCAGGCGCUAGAGGAGCUUUUAGCAAAUGGCUGAUCAGAUUAAUGUCACACCAAAGACUAAGAUUCUUUUGUAAGUCUACAAGCCACUACAGCCCUUUAGCAAUGAAACUCAAUAAAAUGAUGGAUCAUGGUCUCAACUCUUGGCAGGAAAUGGUGAAUGCUCAAAGGACACAACAUCACCUUGACUUCUAUUAAGGAUACCACCUUAAUUAGUCUCACAUGCAAGUGGAUCGUACGUGCUUAUUGUAAAUGGACAACUGCAAUUGUGGCCACUAUGUAUCCAAAACUAUCCAUUGAAGAUUGUGGAAAACGAAAGUGUUAACAAUUGGCAAUGGACAAUUGGGAGUAACAGCGUGGAAUGUCACUCCACCCCCACCACAACAACAUCAUCCGUUGAGUUUAAUAUGUUCGUGAAAUUUGCUGAAACAAGUGCAUGCUUUUUUAUCUAUGGUUUAAAGAAGAACAUUUCUCCACGUAUUGAUUAUGGAGCUAGGCUUGUCUUUAAUUAACACAUGUACAAGAAGAGUUGGAGGAAUUUCUUGCUACUUCCAUCAUUCCAGCUGUUAUAGCCGACUCCAAUUGAAUAUAUUUUGAGUCCACUUUACAUAAGAAACAAAGAUGCGUUGUUAUUAUUUGUGCUGCCAAUCCGCAGUAAUUGAUUAGAAUCCACUCAAAGAAGUGAUGAUUUUG
rnacentral:lncRNA from 1 species